rnacentral:lncRNA from 1 species
UUCACUCAGUCUUACACCUAUACUCAUUCAUCAAAUUUAACGGACAAGAAUCAUCCACCGCUUCAGAUCCAACGAACCAUACCUCCCUCACCUCCCACCGCACACCGCUCCCACCCACGAAAACCGCAUGGCGCUAUCAUUGCCGGCUCGCCGCUCCCUCGCUCUCCCCGCGCCGCGCCAUCAUCGCUGCCGCCCACGAUUCGCCACCGUCCCCGCACCACGCCGCCGCCCCUCGCCUCUCCACCGCGCCGCCCCUCCACCAGCAGCCGUCCCUCACAAAUCGUCACCGCCGUCAUCAGCGCCGCCUCGCCGAUCUCCUCUGCGCCGCCGCCCACGAUUCGCCGCCGUCCCCACACCGCGCCGCCGCCGCCGCCGCCGCCCCGCCUCUCCACCGCGCCGCCGCCCCUCCACCAGCAGCCGUCCCUGACAAAUCGUCGCCGCCAUCCCCACACCGCGCCGGCGCCCCUCGCCUCUCCACCGCGCCGCCGCCGUCCCCACUGCGCCGCAUCGGCCUCCAAGUCUCCGCCGACUCCACCGAGCACGACGAGCUCAACACGAAGAGCUCCAAGAGAGGCCCCUCUCCUUCCUGCUCGGUCCAGCACGACCUCGGCCAAGAAGGCAGCAGGUCUACGCCACCUUCUUCCCGUGCUGAUGCCGUGUCUGAGCCCUACCUCACCACAAGUACUGCUCCAUUUCUCUUUUUGAAUCACCACCGGUUCUUGAUUUCUUUGUGAUCUAAAUAUUAAAGAUGUUUAUUCCAUUGAUUAAAGAUGCUUGCCAUUAGGAAAUAUAUAUAUAUUAGCUGCACGUUGUGUAGAACUCAAGAAUGCUUAGAGGCACUCCAUGCAUGGGUUGUUUUAGCUGCACAUGUACUGUCCGGCUGUUCAAAUUUGAGCUAUUUUCCAGUUAAUUAUUUAAUUAACUCUUAAUUAUCUGAUUCCUCAAAUAUUUACCAAUAUAGUUAUUCCUUCAACAAAAUAAUUGACAUAUCAGUUACUUCUUGCGGGUAACAAACCCACCGCCGGAGAGCACCUUUUGUUUUCUUAUUUUCUUAUUUGUCUUCCCUAUCAAGUAGCACGCCAUUUCAAUACUCUUUAUUCUUCCAGCAGUGCACAUUAUUGUGCCAUUUCAUAUGUUAGCUCUAAAUUCACAUGUGUUAGCUCUAAAUUGACAUUAUUAUACAACUUCCAGCAGUAUAUGUCUUGCUCUGAAUUUGCAUGUGUUAGCUCUAAAUUUCAGAUGCUUGAUAUAGAUUGUCCUUAUGAUGCUAGCUGCAAUGACCUCAUUAUUUCAAUGUAAAGGGGGGGGGGGGCACUUUACUAUUAUUGUUUUUUGAUGUAUUUAAGACGAUCAAAUCCUGUGCACUGAAUGUUAGGGUCAUUCAGUAUUAUUCUUUAUCUUGGUGAUAAUCUGAAAUUCCGAACUGUGAUCUUCUCCC